rnacentral:rRNA from 1 species
UAAUACGGAGGGUGCAAGCGUUAUCCGGAUUCACUGGGUUUAAAGGGUGCGUAGGCGGGUAAGUAAGUCCGUGGUGAAAUCUCUGAGCUUAACUCAGAAACUGCCGUGGAUACUAUUUGCCUUGAAUAUUGUGGAGGUGAGCGGAAUAUGUCAUGUAGCGGUGAAAUGCUUAGAUAUGACAUAGAACACCAAUUGCGAAGGCAGCUCACUACACAAUCAUUGACGCUGAGGCACGAAAGCGUGGGGAUCAAACAGGAUUAGAUACCCUGGUAGUCCACGCCCUAAACGAUGAUUACUCGACAUCAGCGAUACACUGUUGGUGUCUGAGCGAAAGCAUUAAGUAAUCCACCUGGGAAGUACGAUCGCAAGAUUG